rnacentral:lncRNA from 1 species
AGCAGAAUAACUCAUCCUCUCCCCAGAGAUGUCCGUUCUCUAAUCCGUGAAACGGGUGAACAUGUUACCUUCCAUGGCAAAAGGGACUUGGCAGAUGCAAUUAAGGUAUGGACCUUGAAUUGGGAAGAGUUCCCUAGAGUGUCCAGGUGGAUCCAAUAUAACUACAUGAGUUUUUAGAAGUGGAAGAGUAAGACAGAAGAGUGGGUCAGAGAGAUGCAACAACGGAAGAAGAGGAGGAGAAGUGGCAGCUUGAGAGAAACUCAACCCACUACUGCUGGCUUUAAAAAUGGAGGAAGAGGGCCAGGCGCGGUGGCUCAUGCUUGUAAUCCCAGCACUUUGGGAGGCAAAGUUGUGCGGAUCACGAGGUCAGGAGUUUGAGACAAGCCUGAUCAACAUGGUGAAACCCCAUCUCUAAAAAAAUACAAAAAUUAGCUGGGUGUAGUGGUGCGCGCCUAUAGUCCCAGCUGCUCAGGAGUCUGAGGCAGGGGAAUGGCGUGAACCCGGGAAGCGGAGCUUGCAGUGAGCCGAGAUCGCACCACUGCACUCCAGCCCGGGCAACAGAGUGAGACUCCAUCUCAAAAGAAAAAAAAAAGAAAGAAAAUGGAGGAAGGAGACCCACCAUGAGCCAAGGAAUGCAGAUGGCUUCUCAAAGCUGAGAACAGUCCUUAGCUGAUAGCCAGAGCAAGAUAAUAAAGACCUCAGUUCUACAAUCACAAGGAACUGAAUUCUGCCAACAACCUGAAUGCACCAAGAGACAGACUCUUCCAAAGAUCCCUCAGAAAGAGACACAGACGUGCAGGUAUCUUGAUUUCAGCCUCACAGACACCCAUGUCAGACUUCUGACCUGCAGAACUCUAAGAUCUAAAAGGAUUAGGUAUAGUCUCCAGUUCCAACCUCAGGACAGCAGGAGUGAUAAGUCAUGGACGGCGCCAUGAGGAUACAGAAGAGGCUGCUAAAAGGAGCUCUGACAAAAGCAAAAGUGGUCAUUGAUAUCAAGGUAGAAGGAAAAGAAGACAAAAGAUGUACCAGAACUUCACUUUUUACCACUGACACGAGCUACUUCUUUGUUGAAUCAGUUCUAGAGGCUGGAGUUCCAAAAUCAAGGUGUCAGCAGGCUCAUGGACCCCCAAGUCUCUAGCCUCAGGUACACAGGACACACCAGAAAUAAAGCACUCCCACCCCAGUGAAGGGGAGAGAGUGUCCCCUACCUUCUACUUGAUAAGCUGCAGUGGCUGCCGCCCAUCCAAAUCCUGCAGGGAAAGCCAUGGUUUAAGAAGCUGUCUACUGGGAUCUUCAGCUGCCAGAAGCAGAGCACCCUUUGGCCAGAGGAGCCAGGCAAUUGUGCAAACAGAAAAUGAGCUCUCACCCUAGAAUGAAGCCUCAGAAUACAAAUAUUUAUGCAAACAACAAGGAAGCAGGGGCAAAGGACACUUGACUGCCACAGCCUUGAUAAGAAUCCAAGAUACUUUGUACAAGGCCAUCAUUUAUACUUUCUUCCCCCAGCACUCCCUGAUUCUUAACAGAGUUGAUAACCCUGGGUGCUAAGUCCCUGAUUUGGCAGGGCACCCAUUUACCUGAUGUUUUGCCUUUUAAAGUAACAUGAACAUUGUUUUAAAAAGUCAUUAUCAUCCUACUAGAAUUUUCCCUUAGUUCAUUCAUCCCAAUUCCUGAUCCGUACUCUGUAGAGGUAACCACUUUUAACCAUUUCUUCUGAUAUUUAAUCCCAUAUUGUGUAAAUAAUAGGGUGUUGCUGCUUAUUUUUUUCAAUUUUAGAUAAUUAUUGACUUCUGGGUAUAGGGCAGAGGAUCUAGCACUCUCUCUCUCUGUUCCUCCUCCCUCCUUCUCUUCCACCUUCUCCCAUCUGGCCAACAUGAUAAAAUUACCUUUUCAUUUAAAUGAAUUCAAUAUUUAUAUUUCUAUGAGUCUGUAUGGCUCAAAGCUGAGCCAUAUAGUAUACAUACCAUGCUUCCAUGCAACUUUUAAUUUUCUCUAGGGUUAAUCCACUGCCUGAUCUUUAUGUUUAUUUCAUCUUCUUUACACCUAUUACUAAUUCAUCCCCAAACACUCUGACAGAAGAAUACAUCUCUGAGUUGUUCAAACAACUCUGUCUUCCUGCUCCAUUCUGCACUGUUUAUUUUUUAGGACACCACAGAGCUUUGACCCACGAUCUCCUUCACAUCAUUCAGAGAGGCUCCUUCACCUCUCCCCUGGUCUUUCUGUUUCUUUUCCCGCUUUAGAGAAGCACAUCCUCAAAUAACUGUCUGAUAAAGGGGGCAUGGGACAUAAAUAUUUCAAAACUCUGUAGUUGCUCUGGAAUUGUCUUUAGUCUAACAUUGCUCUUAAUAUGCAGUUUUGUACAGGAUUUUAUGAUGAAAAUAAUUUUCACUCAGAAUUUUGAAGGCAUUGGUUCCUGAUUUUCUAGCUUCUGGUGUGGCUACUGACAAGUUUGAUGAGAAUACAAGUCCUGUUCUUUUAUAUGUAAACUUUUUUAUUUCCCCAGCCCACCCUCUCUGACCCCCAAGUUUCUGUUUCUGAAAUUUCAGUCAUGUUCAUUGGUGUGGAACUUCUGUCCAUUGUGCCAGGAACCCAGUGGGUAUGGGUUUCCACAGAAAUGUACAUGUUAACAGUAGGGGAAACUGGAUGAGGGGCCAUGGGAACUCCCUGUACUAUCUUUGAAGCUUCUGUGUAAAUCUAAAAUUGAUCCAAAAUAAAAAGUUUAUUUAAAAAAAAAUGACUAUGGAUUGGGAGGCC